rnacentral:lncRNA from 1 species
AACGUGUUUAACCAACCAACCAACCAACUAAUCAAUUAAUCAAUCAAUCAACCAAUCAAUCAAUCAUGAUCAUGAUCAAUCAAUCAUUUUUCCGUCUCAUGUGUUUAAUAUAGGGUCCAAGAUCUUCUUUGUUUCUUUUUCCGUGUUUCAAUUGACCCUAUCCAACGUGUUUAACCAACCAACUAACCAACUAAUCAAUCAAUCAAUCAAUCAAUCAAUCUGUAUGACUGUUUAAUCAUGACAGUUUAUUGAAGGAACAAACUCUCAAUUAUUCAAGAAAAAUUGAAAUUUAAUAUUGUUCUUACGUCACUUCUGAAAAAAAAUCCACAUGUUCUCGGAAACUACAAGUACAAUCGACCUCAAAAUUUGCAGUCAGCAGGGCAUACAUGUACUAAACGUUUAUAAAAAAACUUGGUGCAGAUAUCUAUCAAAGCUUUUCCUAGAGAAAAGAAAUGGCAAUGCCGUAAAAAUAGCUUGCUAGGUCCGUAAAUCUCAGUAAAAACCUACAAUAAAAUGUCCGCUCCGAGUUUGAAAUACUAAUCUGUGUUACAAACAGGUGCUGAAAAAUGUACAUUAUCAGAAAAUAAUCAAUAAAUGUGUUUUAAAAUUACACCGGAACAAUUAAAUCCAAAACAUGCACUACUUGUGAACUGUCAUCAAAAUGUCAAUUUCCUACAAUGACAAAAGAAAUUACAUUGUGUACAUUCCAUCUCUAUAGAUGUUGUCUGUUUAACGUCCCCACCUAAAAAGAAAUAAAAAGACUAUCUUUUCGUUAUUAUAAACCCGUGUCACGUGAUGUGGCGCGCGCGCU